UACGAAGGGGGCUAGCGUUGCUCGGAAUCACUGGGCGUAAAGGGUGCGUAGGCGGGUCUUUUAAGUCAGGGGUGAAAUCCUGGAGCUCAACUCCAGAACUGCCUUUGAUACUGAAGAUCUUGAGUUCGGGAGAGGUGAGUGGAACUGCGAGUGUAGAGGUGAAAUUCGUAGAUAUUCGCAAGAACACCCGUGGCGAAGGCGGCUCUCUGGGACGGUACUGACGCUGGGACGCGAAAGCGUGGGGAGCGAACAGG
rnacentral:rRNA from 1 species